GGCCCUUGUAGCUCAGUCGGUAGAGUAUAUCCAUGGUAAGGAUAAGGUCAUCAGUUCGAUUCUGAUCGGGGGCUU
rnacentral:tRNA from 1 species